rnacentral:rRNA from 1 species
UACAGAGGCCCCAAGCGUUGUUCGGAUUCACUGGGCGUAAAGGGUGCGUAGGCGGUCGGGUAAGUCUGAUGUGAAAUCUCACAGCUUAACUGUGAAACUGCAUUGGAUACUAUCCGGCUCGAGGAAUGGAGGGGAGACUGGAAUACUUGGUGUAGCAGUGAAAUGCGUAGAUAUCAAGUGGAACACCAGUGGCGAAGGCGGCGAUCUGGGUCGAUACUGACGCUGAGGUGCGAAAGCGUGGGGAGCAAACAGG